UACGUAGGGCGCAAGCGUUAUCCGGAAUUAUUGGGCGUAAAGGGCGCGUAGGCGGCUGGGCAAGUCAAAGGUGAAAUCCCUCGGCUCAACUGAGGAACUGCCUUUGAAACUGCCUGCUUGAGGCCGGGAGGGGUAGCGGAAUUCCCAGUGUAGCGGUGAAAUGCGUAGAUAUUGGGAGGAACACCAGUGGCGAAGGCGGCUACCUGGACCGGUUCUGACGCUGAUGCGCGAAAGCGUGGGUAGCAAACAGG
rnacentral:rRNA from 1 species